rnacentral:rRNA from 1 species
CAAACUCAACUACACCCCUAACCCCCUAUAACUACUGAAUUCUAAGGGCCCUGUAUCGUUGGUUUUAGGUUGGGGCGACCACGGAGAACAACAAAUCCUCCACAAUGAACGGGACUACCCCCUCAUCUAAGAGCUACACCUCUAAGAAUUAAAAUAUUAACAUAAAAUGAUCCAUUUUUGAUCAAUGAACCAAGUUACCCUGGGGAUAACAGCGCAAUCCAUUUCAAGAGCCCUUAUCGACAAAUGGGUUU